rnacentral:rRNA from 1 species
UCGACCGAGAUCAGGC